AGAUUGAACGCUGGCGGAAUGCUUUACACAUGCAAGUCGAACGGCAGCACGGGGGCAACCCUGGUGGCGAGUGGCGCACGGGUGAGUAAUACAUCGGAACGUAUCCUAGAGUGGGGGAUAGCCCGGCGAAAGCCGGAUUAAUACCGCAUACGCUCGAAAGAGGAAAGUGGGGGAUCGUAAGACCUCACGCCCAAGGAGCGGCCGAUGCCGGAUUAGCUUGUUGGUGAGGUAAAAGCUCACCAAGGCGACGAUCCGUAGCUGGUCUGAGAGGACGACCAGCCACACUGGGACUGAGACACGGCCCAGACUCCUACGGAGGCAGCAGUGGGAAUUUGGACAAUGGGGGAAACCCUGAUCCAGCCAUUCCGCGUGAGUGAAGAAGGCCUUCGGGUUGUAAAGCUCUUCGGCAGGAACGAAACGGUUUAGGCUAAUACCCCAGACUACUGACGGUACCUGAAGAAGAAGCACCGGCUAACUACGUAGCCAGACAGCCGAC
rnacentral:rRNA from 1 species